CGAGAGGUUGAUCCACCUCCCCCAGGUCAAGCUGCCUUCCAGGAGGGUUCUGGGAGAACUGGCCUCUAUUUCUACCCCCACUGGCCCAAAUGAUGACAAGCACAGUGAGAAACACCAGGGAGGCACAACAUACCGCGAUGAUGAUCACCAGCCCCGACCACCAGCUUUCCUCAGUGGGACACGAGGUGGCGUUGGGAGCUGAAAGAGACGGGAGCAGCCUGAGUGUCCCCUGGAUGAGUGGGCCCCAGCCGGCAUCAGAGGUGGACCGUUGUGGGUGACACCAAGGCUGGUCUCACCGCCAUCCAUCACCCAGAUGAAGGCUCUCCAACCUGUCCUGCUGUCCCCACCCCCCAACCCAGUGGCAGGUGACAUCAUGGUUGGCCUCCAGCCAGGCAACGUGCUCCGAGCUGGGGUUAAGCGCCGCACCCCGGGCCAUCCGUCCUCCCUUGGCGUGAGCUAACUGACAGCAGGGUCGGGUUUAAUUUCCCGUGAAAAACAACAGAACAUCUCAUUCUCUCAGCUGGGACAUUAAACCUGCUUCCUCUGAAGCCCUCUUUGUGAGGCUCCUCAAGACCGGGACUUGUACUCAGCAGCACUGCUGUCUUUCUGGAGCUGCAGCCCACACUUUCUCCGUGCCCUGCCCUGGGCACCCUCCCCAGAUCUGCCGAGCCUUCGGUUCCCAUCCAGGGCUGCAGAUGCACUGCUGCCUGGAAGGGCUACGUUCAGCCAGCUUAGAACAGCGCAGCGCCGUCCAGAAGUGAGGAGACGGUGCCACAGGGGAAAGCUCUGGGGGACCACUUGAGCCUACCCUCAUUGCCCCGACUCCUCAUCAUUCGAGGACAAAUCCAUUCACUCACUCAACACCUAUCUGCUAAGAGCCUACGACAUGCCGUGCACUGGGCUAGGUGCUGGGGAGAGGAGGGUCGGUGAAAACACACAGGGACGCUGCCCUUGUGGUACAGUCUGCUGAAGAAUGGACACUGUGGGACUUCCCCGGUGGCGCAUCGAUUGGGAGUCCGCCUGCCAAUGCAGGGGACACGGGUUCGAGCCCUGGUCCGGGAGGAUCCCGCAUGCCGCGGAGCGACUAAGCCCGUGCGCCACAACUACUGAAGCCUGCGGGCCUAGAGCCCUUGCUCCGCAACAAGAGAGGCCACGGCGAUGAGAAGCCCGUGCACCGCAACGAAGAGUAGUCCCCUCUCGCCGCAACUAGAGGAAGCCUGCAUGCAGCGACGAAGACCCAACGCAGCCAAAAAUAAACACAUAAAUAAAUAAAAAUUAAAAAAAAAAAAAGAAUGGACACUAAUUCACUAACCACCAGCUAAAUGCACAUUUGAUUCCUGCCCCACUGAGAUACUGGGCAUGUGCCUUAGGUACAAACAACAGGAAACUACAGAACAAAAAAUAAGAAUUCCCGGAACACGAAGACCCAACAUAGGUUGACGGAGCACAACGGGGCUCCGCUUCGUGAGAGGCUCAUGACCUUGGGACAGGAACAUGCUCCCGAUGGUUUAUGUGAAAUGCCCAGCAGAGCCCCAGCACCUAGUUAUACUCAAUACAUGCUGGAUAACUUUCUCCCUUUCCAGAGGGCACUCAGAUGAUGGGGUCUCAUGACUGCCCAGUCAGGUAGAAUCUGCUCGGUCCCAGCAGCCGCCAUUACUGUGAAGAGGGCUUCAGGAUCAACUCAGACCAAGGGUCAAUAAACGCGGGCCCACAGGCCAAAUCUGGCCCGCCACCUGCUUUUGUAAAUAAAGUUUUAUAGAAACACAGACACACGCCCGUUUGUUUACAUAUUGUCAUGCCUGCUUUCUUGCUGCAUCGGCAGAGUUGAGUAGCUGCAGCAGAGACUGUAUGGCCUGCAAAGCCUAAGUUAUUUACUCUCUGGCCUUUUACAGAAUGAGUGUGUCCACCCCUCCCUAACUUCCGGUGGUCUUCACCUGAGAUCCUCAGACAAGAUUAGAAAAUUGAUCUGAGAGACCCCCUGGAAUUAUACCGCAUAUUUGCAUUUUACAAGUAAACGUUCCAUUCCUUCCAUGUUAUAUUUUAGAAAGUCCCUUUACUCCAAAUGUCACACCAGUGCCCUGGUGGGGAGGUGUCUAGACAUGUGACACAGGGCUCUGUUCUGUCUGGGAGUUUUAACAGUGACAGUCUUGACUUGGCCACACCGCACCUGCUAAGUGGUCAGUUGCGGGGGGACGACAUUCCCUGGAAGGCUGAUGGGGAGCAUGUACUGUGGUAAUACGCUAGGAAUCAUCCGGGGCCCUGCUGCA